rnacentral:rRNA from 1 species
UACGUAGGGCGCAAGCGUUGUCCGGAAUUAUUGGGCGUAAAGAGCUCGUAGGUGGCUGGUCGCGUCUGCCGUGAAAGCCCGCAGCUUAACUGCGGGUCUGCGGUGGAUACGGGCCGGCUAGAGGUAGGUAGGGGCAAGUGGAAUUCCUGGUGUAGCGGCGAAAUGCGCAGAUAUCAGGAGGAACACCGGUGGCGAAGGCGGCUUGCUGGGCCUUACCUGACGCUGAGGAGCGAAAGCGUGGGGAGCGAACAGG